GAGAGGUCUUUGUGUGAGAACAAGAAACCUACUUGUGAAACUUCCCUAGAAAUCAAUUAGGGCACAAACUUCUUUAGAGCUUUCUCUGCAUUUUGCUGGAUCAUCCUAGUUCUUUAUUCCAGAGGUUCAUGGAACACUCAAUACUGUAGUUUCACAUCUAGGGUUUUUGAUUUCCAGAAAAAUUAGGGUUUUACUGUUGUUGGAAACGAAGGGAGAUAUACAGUGGUAAGGAGUGACGCUUCGGAGAUAAUAAAAACUGUCUGUAUAAUUUUAUUUUUAAAUUAUUUUUUGUGAUACUAUUUUCUGUUUUGUAAUUAAUUUAUUUUUGGAGAUCUAGUGAAGAUCUUAUACAGUACCGGCGUUAAUGGCGGAUCUUGUUUGAUAUCUUUCCAUCUUUCUUUUUAUCUCGAAUAUCCAACCACUUCUCUCUUUACUGAAGGAGCUAGUAGCUACUACUAAUAAUAAUAAGUACCUAAACUAGUUUUCUUUCUUUGUUCUACUGUUUAAAUGUUGGACUACAGCAAACCCUAGUUAGUAAUGAGUUUUUCUUCUUCUUUCUAAUUUCAUUUCUCAUUCUCAUAGGAGUUUUUCUUCUUCUUUCAACUUCCACUUCUUCCCUUUCUGCUAUUUGUACUUCUUUUCCUGACUUUGUUGUCAAAAUGAAGCAGUUUAAAGCCUAUUUUCAUGGGUUGGAGAUUAAAGAAGAGCAUCAUGAUGAAGACAGGUGGGAUCUUCUCUGAAGGGCAGGUGGUGCUCAGCAGACUUUCUGAAAUUUUUUAAAUAAGGGUUACCACCGUUCAACAGAUUCUACUAAGCUACUUGAUCUACUUGACUUAUAUUUGGCAAAAUGAAGAAGUUUCAAGUUUUACUGAUUUAUUUGGAGGGAACAUGAAAAUGAUAUCAAGAGAGAGAUCAUCAAAUGAAAAAGAAAGGAAGGAAAGCAAGAGAUAAUGUGGAUGUGAGGCUACUACUGGUUCUAUACCAAUCAGGUGACAAAAUGUGUUGCAACUCUUCGCCGGCGAAGAAUCCGGCAGGCUGCUGUGCAUUUUCAUUCUAUACUAGCCGGUUCUCAUUUGAUUAUGUUCAUUGCAUACUGCUUACUUUACAUACCAAACAACAAGAGA